rnacentral:misc_RNA from 1 species
AGCAGCCGCGGUAAUUCCAGCUCCAAUAGCGUAUAUUAAAGUUGUUGCAGUUAAAAAGCUCGUAGUUGAAUUUCGGGAUCAGUUGGUCGGUCGUGCCUCGGUACGUACUGGUCAAAUUGAUUCCUACCUUCUGACGAACCACGAUGUCAUUAAUUUGGUGUCGCGGGAAAUCAGGACUGUUACUUUGAAAAAAUUAGAGUGCUUAAAGCAGGCUCGCGCUUGAAUACAUUAGCAUGGAAUAAUGAAAUAGGACGUUUGAUUCUAUUUUGUUGGUUUCUAGGAUCGACGUAAUGAUUAAUAGGGAUAGUUGGGGGCAUUAGUAUUCAAUUGUCAGAGGUGAAAUUCUUGGAUUUAUUGAAGACUAACUACUGCGAAAGCAUUUGCCAAGGAUGUUUUCAUUAAUCAAGAACGAAAGUUAGGGGAUCGAAGACGAUCAGAUACCGUCGUAGUCUUAACCAUAAACUAUGCCGACUAGGGAUCGGAUGAUGUUAAUUUUUUAAUGACUCAUUCGGCGCCUUAC